GCAAACUUUAAAAUGCUGGCCGAACCUGGUGAUGUGGUCGAAUCAUCAGGAUUUGUUUUUGAAGCCCCAAAACUACCAUCACCACCGUCGUUUCUGCGGGAAGCAACAAAAAGCUACGCCUCUUUUGUGGUCCGCUCGGUGCCGCUGUGUUCCAGACCAGCUUCUCUCUCCCCGCCCCCGUCUGUGACUGGCCUCGGGCUCCUCAAGGAAGUCCCUCCGUCUGGAGGAAAGCCCCAGAGAGAAGGGGAAGGCAGUUAGCAGGACAGAGGGUUUGGCUCUUGACGCCUCCAGUUCUUGGCUGGGAGUGGGGGUGAGGCAAGAGAAGUCCCUGGCUGAGAGGUGGUCUGUCGGAGGAACUGCGAGUCCUCUGUGUGGGCUGGAGUGGGGGGCGGGGGUCUUCGAGGAGAGUGUGAACCUGAGGGGGGCCUGGCCAAGCUCCCUGGGAGGCCAUGAGACACAAGUAUGACGAGAGAUGAGCUCAUGGGCAGGGCAGCACCUCGUAAACUUUAAAACACCUGCUACAUGUGUUUCCUGCCACCUGUGCCUCUCUGCCCCGUCCCUGGAGGGGGCUCUGGCUGUCUGGCUUUGUCACUUGGUCCCCUUGCAUCUUCAGCUGCUCUGGCCCGGGGCUUGGUUAGCAGUUCUCUUACCAGGGAAGCCAGAGGGGGUAAAACAGGGGCAGUGGGGCUGAGGGCACGUGGGGCCUAAGACUGGAUUAUUUUGGUUCUUUAUUGCCUUGUAAGAAACCGCUCCAAAGAAUAAUGGCUUAGCACAACAA